rnacentral:rRNA from 1 species
CCUACGGGCGGCAGCAGUGAGGAAUAUUGGUCAAUGGACGAGAGUCUGAACCAGCCAAGUAGCGUGAAGGAUGACUGCCCUAUGGGUUGUAAACUUCUUUUAUAUGGGAAUAAAAUGUUCCACGUGUGGGAUUUUGUAUGUACCAUAUGAAUAAGGAUCGGCUAACUCCGUGCCAGCAGCCGCGGUAAUACGGAGGAUCCGAGCGUUAGCCGGAUUUAUUGGGUUUAAAGGGAGCGUAGGUGGAUUGUUAAGUCAGUUGUGAAAGUUUGCGGCUCAACCGUAAAAUUGCAGUUGAAACUGGCAGUCUUGAGUACAGUAGAGGUGGGCGGAAUUCGUGGUGUAGCGGUGAAAUGCUUAGAUAUCACGAAGAACUCCGAUUGCGAAGGCAGUUCACUGGACUGCAACUGACACUGAGGCUCGAAAGUGUGGGUAUCAAACAGGAUUAGAUACCCGGGUAGUC